CCAAAACGGAGCUGACAACGGAGGCUGAGUCGGCACCUGGACUUCAGAAUGGGGACCCUAAAAUCAGCGCCGUGACUGUGAGGCUGGGACCCCAAAACUGGAGGUGGGACCCCAAAACCAGCAGCAGGAUUCUGGAAUUGGAUCCCGAAACUGGAAUUGGGAGCUUGGAAUUGAGACCCCAAAAACAGCAACGGGACCCCCAAACUGGGACCCCAAUAUCAGCACCGGGACCCCAAAACUGAGACCAGGACCUUGUAAGUGGGACCCCAAAAUCAGCAGCAGGACCUGGAAAUUGGACCCCAAUAUCAGCACCGGGACCCCAAAACUGAGACCAGGACCUUGUAAGUGGGACCCCAAAAUCAGCACCAGGACCUGGAAAUUGGACCCCAAUAUCAGCACCGGGACCCCAAAACCGAGACCAAGACCUUAAAGUGGGACCCCAAAAUCUACCCUGGGACCCCAAAAGCAGACCCAUGACGAUGUAAUCAGCAUCAAGGACCCCAAAAUCUGGCACUGGGACCCCAAAUUUCACCACUUGGACCCAAAAAUUAGCAUUGGGGACCCCAAAAUCCGGCACUGAGACCCCAAAUUUCAGCACUCGGACUCCAAACCCAACACCAAGACCCCAAAUUCCAGCACUGGGACCCCAAAUUUCACCACUUGGACCCCAAAAAUCAGCAUUGGAGACCCCCAAAUCCGGCACUGGGACCCCAGAUUUCACCACUUGGACCCAAAAAUCAGCAUUGGGGACCCCAAAAUCCAGCUCUGGGACCCCAAAUUUCAGCACUUGGACUCCAAACCCAACACCAAGACCCCAAAUUCCGUCACUGGGACCCCAAAUUUCACCACUUGGACCCAAAAAUCAACAUUGGGGACCCCAAAAUCCGGCACUGAGACCCCAAAACCAGGACCCAGGACCCAUGGCUGAGGGGUGUCCCCUCCCUGGGGAGGUGACAGAGGGGGACAGCGGUGUCCCCAAAGGGGACGUCGAUGUCCCCGAGGUCACCGUCACUCCUUGGGCCAGCGGCAUCACCAUCACUGUGACGGUGGCACCGGCGGAUGAGGACAUCGAGGACAUUUGGGACAUUGGGGACACCGAGGACGUUGGGGACAUUGGGGACACCGCUGAGGACAUUGGGGGUGCGGAUGUGGGGCGCGGGGACGUCCCCGUUCCACGUGACAGAGAUGUCCCAACCCUGAAGGGUUUUGGGGACGGGGAUGGCAUUGAUGUCACAGCCCUAAAGGACACUGAGGUGACAGAGGUGGUGACACCAAGGGGUGUUGGGGACAGGGAUGUCCCAACCCCGGGGGAUAUGGGGGGCAGGGAUGUCUCCAUCUAUGGGGACAAGGAUGUCCCGGUCCACGAGGAUGAGGGUGACGGGGACAGGGAUGUCAUAGGUGUAUGGGAUGAUGGGGACAAGGGCUUUGGGGACGGGAAUGCCACCACCCCAAGGGACGAAGUUUGGGAUGUCCCCGUUCCCAGUAUGGAGAAGGGCAGUGGGAAUGGGGGUGUCUUGGCUGCUGGAGACGAGGACAUUGGGGACAUCCCAACCGUAAGGGACAUUGGGGACAUCCCAACCGUAAGGGACAUUGGGGACAUCCCAACCGUAAGGGACAUUGGGGACAAGGAUGUCACAACCCCUAAGGACGAGGACACCAAGGAAAAGCCUGUCCCAACCAUGGGGGAUGAGGACUUUGGGGGCGAGGGUGGUGGGGACAGGGAUGUCCCGUCCCCAGUGGGCUUUGGGGACAAGGACACUGGGGACAAGGAUGUCCCAUCCCCUAAUGGCAUUGGGGACAAGGAUAUUGGGGACAAGGACAUUGGAGAGAAGGGUGUCCCAUCCCCCAUGGGCUUUGGGGACAAGGACUUUGGGGACAAGGAUGUCCCAUCCCCCAUGGACUUUGGGGACAAGGACGUCCCAUCCCCUAAGGCCUUUGGGGACAAGGACAUUGGGGACAAGGACUUUGGGGACAAGGACGUGCCAUCCCCCAUGGGCUUUGGGGACAAGGAAGUCCCAUCUGUCACGGGCU
ensembl:lncRNA